rnacentral:rRNA from 1 species
UACGAAGGGGGCUAGCGUUGUUCGGAAUUACUGGGCGUAAAGCGCGCGUAGGCGGACUGACAAGUCGGGGGUGAAAUCCCGAGGCUCAACCUCGGAACUGCCUUCGAUACUGUCAGUCUUGAGGUCUGGAGAGGUGAGUGGAACUCCGAGUGUAGAGGUGAAAUUCGUAGAUAUUCGGAAGAACACCAGUGGCGAAGGCGGCUCACUGGCCCGAUUCUGACGCUGAGGCGCGAAAGCGUGGGGAGCAAACAGG